GCGCCCGUAGCUCAGCAGGAUAGAGCAUCGGUUUCCUAAACCGAGGGUCAGGGGUUCGAAUCCCUUCGGGCGCACCA
rnacentral:tRNA from 1 species